UACGUAGGGAGCAAGCGUUGUCCGGAAUCAUUGGGCGUAAAGCGCGCGUAGGUGGCUUCGUAAGUCCGUUGUGAAAGUCAAAGGCUCAACCUUUGAAAGCCGAUGGAUACUGUGAAGCUAGAGUACGGAAGAGGCGAGUGGAAUUCCUGGUGUAGCGGUGGAAUGCGCAGAUAUCAGGAGGAACACCAAUAGCGAAAGCAGCUCGCUGGGACGUUACUGACACUGAGGCGCGAAAGCGUGGGGAGCGAACAGG
rnacentral:rRNA from 1 species